UAUUUCGUUCCUCAUACGCUGUGUGUUUCAUUUCUAUUACUUGAUCUGCACUCUUAAGUAUGGAACUUGGGAUUUAUCGCUGUUUAGAAUCUUUCUUAGCUCCACUUCCAUCUCAUUGAAAUGUUCAUAUAAUGUUGUUCCUUUGUCUAAAGCUCUGUUAGCUAAUACAUCAGCUAAUUGAUUUCCUUCGCGUAAAAUGUGAGUAUAUGUUACCUGUUUCCCCUCUCCCAUACUUUUAAUUUCAUCAACCCAAUUUGCUAAACUCCAGGGUGGUUUCCAGCCUUCUUUUAGAAUCUUUUGAACAAAUUGUGAGUCAGAUUGUAUUAUGAUUCUAUUGAACUGAUUGUUGUUGCACCACCUGAUAGCUUCCAAGAUUGCCACUGUUUCUGCUUCAUUAUUAGUAACAUGUCCUAUCUCUGCUGCUCUGGCAAAAAUUAAAUUGCCCUCCUCAUUCCUCACACAAAAACCAAAAGACCCUCUCCCAGAGUUACCUCUUGAUGCACCAUCAGUGUUGCACAUAAUCCAACCCCUAAGAGGGGGUUUCCAAAUCACUUUCUUGUAUUUCACCUGUGUUCUGUAUCCUUCCAAAAGCUGUAACAUGUCCUUCCAACUGUGAGGAAUUUGUUGUAUUGAAGGAUUUCUGAAUCUAACCAAGUUCUGAAUUGUAACAUAGAUCUGAUAUAUGCAUCUUCCAACUGAUUUCCUCUCUCCAUGUUUAUAUGCAUUUCUUCUCUUCCAUAGCUCCCAUAGAACUAUAGCUGGCAUAGCAUAAAACACUGGUUUCAACCUAUUAUUAACAGGUUGUUGCCACCGUUUAACUAUGAUUUGUUGUAGUUGAAGUCCUUCAAUAUUAAUACCUGCAAGAGAGGAAAAAAAGGACCAAGUCCUGUUAGCAGAAAAAGACCUAGCAAAAAGAUGUUGAAUUGUUUCCUCCUUAGGAUUUGAACAACACCAACAUCUAGAUGCUAGAUUAAUAUUCAUUCUUUUCAACACAUCAUCCAAUGGAACCUUAAAUUUCCAACAUCUCCACAUGAAAAAGGAGAUCUUAAAUGGUAGUCCUUUUAUCCACAUGUAUUUAUAAAUCUCAUUCUCCUGUCCUCUCAAUCUCAAAUAGUCCCAGGCUGAUUUAACUGUAAAAUCCCCUUUGCUAUCCAGAAGCCACCUGUUACGUCCCGUAUUUUUAUACAUUGGGACAACCCGGAUUAACUAUGAUAAAUUAAGGCCAAGACUAUUCCGGGAUUUGAAGUCGGGACUUUUGACCUUUGAUUUUAUUUUGAGACAUAAGUUGUGUAUGAAAUUGUUAGCUUGAACACUUAGGAAAAAUUGGGACCAUAAUUCAUAAAUUUGGAAAUUAAAACUCUUGCAUAAAAAAAAAAAAAAAGGGAAGAUGUGUGGAUUGAAGUGGUCCCCACACAUUGUUGUGGCCAAUUUUAAUUGGUCCAACACAUGUGUGGGCCCAAAGACAAUAAGAGAUAUUUUAAGGGGACUUAAAAGAUGACCACUUAGUCAUCUUUCUCUCAUUUCACAUUCCCACACUUAGAAAAUAAAGCAAGAAGUUGAGGAACCAAAACCAUGGCUCACGGCCAAGACCAUGGAAAACCAAAUCCAAAUCAAGCCCCUCUAAAAAUAUUUCUUGGGUACAAAUCAACUAAUUAGAGGUCCCUAAGUAACUUGGAAGCAUUGUUGGAGUGAUCAAGUCUUUCAUUUAAGAGAUUUGCAAACCCUAGCCUAUUGGUGGAUUGAAGAAGAAAGACCUUGGGGAGCCCGAGGCGUGGAUUGGAAAUUUACUUUAGAUUGGCUAUUUUGGAAGGGCGUACGAGGUACAGACGCACAGCCUGGUGAUCCACCUGUUUAGGACACCCUUUCUGCUAUUCGGAGUGCUCCUCUCUUUCCGGAGCUUAUACUUUUGGUAUAUAUAUUUAUUAGUGCAUUUGUAUAUAUUCGUUCAUGGGUACGGCGGGGCCCUGUCCCGUCAUAUGAUUCUGUCGGUCUGUUUAGAGGUCUGUGGACAUGUUUGUGGGUUGGGGUCUUUCUGUAUGGAUGUAUGUACAUGUCGUUUGGGCGAUCCCAUACGCCGAGGCGGCCGGUCCGCAUAUGUUGUUUGGGCGAUCCUAUACGCCGAGGCGGCCGGUCCGUAUAUGUUUAUAUAUUGCUUGGUUAGCCCUGUGUGGCUUUUGUUGGUA